rnacentral:rRNA from 1 species
GAUCGCGGCGACGUGGGCGGUUCCCUGCCGGCRACGUCGCGAGAAGUCCAYUGAACCUUAUCAUUUAGAGGAAGGAGAAGUCGUAACAAGGUUUCCGUAGGUGAACCUGCGGAAGGAUCAUUGUCGAU